UAAAGGGGAUUUAAAAAAUGAGGAGUGGGUGGAUUUUUAUCAUUGUAGGGUGGUUGUGUUCAGACACUGCCAACACACAUUUCAGUUCAUACUACUUGUAAAA